GCUGGGUGUGGUGGCGCAUGCCUGUAGUCCCAGCUACUUGGGAGGCUGAGGCAGGAGAAUCGCUUGAACCCAGGAGGCAGAGGUUGCAGUGAGCUGAGAUCAUGCCACUGCACUUCAGCCUGGGCGACAGAGCAAGACUUUGUCUCAA
ensembl:misc_RNA Metazoa_SRP Metazoan signal recognition particle RNA